rnacentral:lncRNA from 1 species
UAGCUAGCUAUCUACCCCUCAAAACUUCUAGAAUUAUAUACUUCCAAGUUUUUUUCGAUGUUCGAACUUUCAAAUCGACGAUCGGUUCCAUUAGACUUGAUCUAGAGUAUUUAAAGUAUCUAAAAAAUAAAUUUUGUGAUUUUUCGAUAUUAUUUGCUUAGUGAUCGAAGUGGCUCAAAAUCAACGGCUGAAAAUAAAAAUCUUACAAAAUAUGAUGAUAUGAUAUUAAAAUUUUAGAUCAAAGUCAUUGAUCUUGUUUUAUAUGGUAUAAAUAAUUUUCUAUCAAAAUUUCAUAUGAUUUGGAUAUUUCUACACCGUUAAACUUGCAAACGGCUCACCACGGCCAUUAAAAUUAUUGAUUUUGAGCCCCUUCGAUCACUAGGCAAAUGAUAUCGAAAAAUCACAAAAUUUAUUUUCUAGGUACUUCAAAUACUCUAAAUCAAGUUCAACGGAGUCGAUCGUCGAUUCGAAAGUCCGAACAUUGAAAACAACUUGGAAGCACGAAGGGCUCCGUGCUUCCAGAAGCAUACCAGUCCACUAUAUAUAUAUAUAUAUAUAUAUAUAUAUCCUUCAUAUAUUAUUUCGUUAUUCAAAAAAAUUUUGCUGUUAAUAUCUGUUAAAUCAUUUCGGGUUAAAUUUUUACCAAAGUUAAAAAAAAAAAUCAAAAUACCUCUUUUACUCUUAAUUUAAGGAUAAAUAAAAAAGUUGGUGAUCGUAGAAGGAUAUAUUUGAAAGGGUGAAAAGUCAAAAAUACUUUUUGUGCCCCUAAUUUAAAGACAAAUUAGAAAAGUCAGUAGCAGUAAAAUGACAUAUUUGAAAGGAAAAAAUAGUAAUUUUAUAAAAAUAACGACCGUUCCUAAUAGUUUACUAACAUAAUUUACCUCUAACAUUAAAAGAAUUAUAUAUAUAUAUAUAUAUAUAUAUUAGUCUUCUAAAUGGUAAAAAAGAAAGUCUAGAACAUUUCAAAACAUUUAAGCACUUGCCACUAAUUAUUAAUGCUCCCACAUGGCUCUUCCUAGUGCUUUCUUGCAUCUUUCCUAUCCUCUUGUCAUGUUUUAGUUUAAGAAUCACAGUACAGCUCUCUUAGAACAACCGGAUUUGAUCAGAACGUCUAUUUUUAAACUUCUAUGCCGUGGGUUUAGAUUUUAGAAUGUACCUUAAGUAUAUAUUGCAAUCACACAGUUAAAUUUCUGACAAAGAAGAAAUUACAGUACCUUAUUCAGUGCAGCUAAGCUGAGCACCUUCACUCCCAUCUUAUCCGCCCUGAGUAUCGCUAACUCGAUCUGAUCAUUGAUACCGUCCCUCGCGAACGGCAAAAAAUACUGCAGUUGCGAUUGAUGUAUAGUGAAAAUCAUUAUUAAGAACUUGUUAAAAUACAUGAUGAUGAAAGCAGAUGUUUUUACCUGAAACCCGUAUCUUGGCACUGCCCAGGUUUGGUGGAGCCUGCCUCUUAGGUUGUAGAAGGUGACCAAGAAGGUUUUCGACCGGAGCCACAUUAUGAGCAUGGCCAUGAACGCGAGCGGCCACAAGGGCAACAAGAUGAGCUUGAACACGAAGGGCUUCGCGCUGAUCGAACGGAACACGAACGCGACGUGAAUGGAGGAGAUCACAUCCACGACGUGCGCGAGGAAGACGAAGUCGGGGACCUGGUCAUUCUUACCUGCAGAGAUUGGUCUCAGAAUAGUUUAGCUUCUCACUCAAUCAAGUGUGGUACAGAAAUAACAUGAUCUGUAGUGUUAUCUCAUUGUAAACUUAACAUAGAUUGUUUUGUUAUAAUUUGCAAUCACUAAGUUAGAAACCAAACUGUUGUAGAAAAAUUUAAAGUUGAGUUACUUGUGUAUCAAUCUUGAUAUGGCAUAGUCAAUAUUAGAUCUAGUAUCCAAUUGAUUAGGUACAUUAUAGAACCAAUGAUCUCGGCAUAUCUCUCCUGAUUUAUAGGAUUACUAGUGUGUUUUGCAAGCUGAACACUAUGAUUGAAAGGUGUGAAAACAGAAGAGCAAUUAGAAUAUUCAAAUUUAUCAAGAACCAUUCAGAUAUAAUGAGAUUAUGUGAUCUAACAAUCUUCAUUUCUAAGAUUACAUUUGCCUCACCAAAAUCCUUCAUAUCAAAAUGGUCCGAUUAGAAGGAAAACUUAUAGUGAAUGAGAUAUUAAGUGAAAUCCAGGUUGGUUUUUAGGCAUCUAAAUUGUGAAUAAGAAUGAAUAAGGGCAUGUUUGGUGCAAAUGAUGCUUCUAGCUAUUCAAAGAGAGCUUUCGCUAAAAUCUUGCUAAUGGAUUUUAGCUGGAUCUUUUGCUUUUGGGUCUCGAAGGUUGCUUUUUUAAUCAAACUCAAAACUCUACAUUUUCGUUUCUCAGAUAUUCGAUUUUUUAUUUUCAAAUAGAGAAACAAAUUCAAAAGCCAGAUCAAAUAACCACUAAAAUAAGUCGCAAAAGUGUAACUAUUUACCUCCAAAAAAAAAAGGAAAAGAUUUACCUUAAAAAGCAUUAAUGAAGAUUGACUUUUAAACUUCAUGAUAUGAUACUUUGAACUCUUUUUGGUUAGCAAUGCAAACCUAACAUUAAUUUCAGACACCAUAAUACCACACCAUCUGGUCAUGUGUGACUCCAGAUAAUGAGUGUUGGCUACAUCCUCAAAAAUAGAAACCAGCCUUUUGGUUCUGGAAUAAAUGCACACUCCAAUAUAGAAACCCUAGAUUAAUUGAUUCUAAGCACUUAUUCAAGUGCCUUUUUGUGAAAACAUAGUAAGUGCUUCUUUAAAAAGUUGAGUGCAUUGGAUUAUGUGAAAAGCCAAUGUUUUAUAAAAUUAGAAAGCCCCACAUAGGCUUAAAGGGUUAUAGGGGUCCAUUACUUUUACCACUUAGUUAACAUUUCACCCUCAAUGGGGCUCCUCAUUACAUGAGAGAGAGAGAGAGAGAGAGAGAGAGAGUAGACACAAUUAAUUAUUGACCACAAACAUACAAUUGAGGUGUGGGUAUAUGCACAUUUACUAGCACUUACAACUUGCACAUGAUCAAUUAACUAUUGGCUUUUUGUGCCCUACCAUUUGACCUAACAGCUGGUGUAUUAAUGGUACGAUGAUAAGCUCUCAUGUCAAAAAAGUAAUAAAAGGGUAUAACAAACUUUUUAAUUAUUUGACGCAUCUGUAUAAUCUAGUGGCAGAUGUACUAUUUAGUUAGGUUUAAUUACACUCUAUUAUACUAUACUUUAUGUUGGAUCGUUGGGGCUAGCCAUUAAUCUAAAAAACUAGAGCUGUUAGAAAUACGCAACCAAUUUACUUAAAGCGUACAAAUACAGCACAUAUGGAUCUCGAUUGUGGCUCUACCUAACCAAUCUCACGCCACUUCAAACAUGACUCGGUCCAACCCAGCCUCACGCCAUUUCGAACAUAACUCGGCCCAACCUGAUCUUCCGUCAUAGAAUAGAAUGCUGGCCCCUUUAAGCCAACGCCUUAGUAUUAUUUCUAUUUACUUUAUUGUACAAUUUUUUCAAAAGUACUAUUAUAUUAUUGUAGUUUAUAAAUUUCUACACUGUAUUUAGAUUUAUUUUUAUUUUUCUAUCUUAUACUGUUUUUUUUUCUCGCCAAUCUUUACAAUAUGCUAAACAACUCUAUUGUUUUAGACAAAGUCUAAUAACUUUAUUAAGCGGCACUAACUAAAUAGUAGAAAAAAUAUAAAAUAAAUCUUUAUGAUAGACUUGUCAAAAGCUUCUAUCAAGUAAUUUUUAAUUAUUUAUAUAUAUUUUAUUAUUUUUAAGUCAAAAUGAGUUGAAUAUAUACUUUGCCAUUUUUAGCUAGUAUUUUAUAAUAGUUCUUAUAUAUAGUUAUAGAUUUAUUGCUUAUAGUAUAGGAAUUAAAAAAAAGGAAGAAGAAUAUUGAGUGAUGCCCUUGAAAAAAAAAAAAAGUAUAGUGUAGGAAGUGAAAAAAUAUCUAUAAAGUACAGCAUAAUGUUGUUGUAUAGUAUAAUUAAGCCUAUACUUAGUUACUAUUAGCAAAUGUUUGAUAUGUAAUGUACCUGAUCUUAUCUCCCUCUGCAACUCCCAAGAGUUUUCAUUGAGGGUCCUCCCAAUUGCAUCAAAUAUAGGCAUAAAUAGGCAGAAAUUUGAGUCCUUCUCUUUGUGAUGUAAACUGUGGUAUCUGCACACAUUAAAAAUAAAAAAAAAAACCAUUUAAUCAUAAUUUGGAACAGUAAUUUGCAACAGGGUUAAUUUGUAGAUCUUUGAAUCUCUUAUCUCAUAGUUAGAUGAAUAUCUAGUAACAUGGCACAUAUUAAAAGACCACUCACUUUCAGUACAAGUUUACUUUUUAUUGACCCCCAAAAGUAGGGAACAUAACCAUCCGAAUUAUUAAAUAGGAACUUAAGGGACCAUUUGGAGUCACAAACAAAGUAAUUAACUAAGCAUGAACCAAACACUUAGAUGAACAAACCAUUCCUUAUACAGUACAAGAAAAUAAUCUCUAUGACUUGACUAUAAUUAUCCAAAUCUUGGUUGGUAUACAAUUAGACCCCAGUGUACAGCAUUAUUGGUGGCAUUUAGUAGUACAAGAGUGUAAUCUCUAUCACCUAAAUAUAAUUAUAUAUCCAAAUCUUGGUUUGCAUGCAAUAAGUGCUUUGGUACAUUUAUUACAAUCAAAAUUGAAACCCAUAUUUGGGGCAUUAGAUGGUCAUUUGCUGUCAACUUGCGUAGGUACCACUAUUAUUAAUUUCAAGCAGUUAGUUAGUAUAUACCUUUCACUCCAGACAAAGAGAUCUGGGUUCAAAUUAAACGAUUCAUGCGAGAAGAGAUUUAGAUUCGAAUCCUAGUUUGUGUAAAAUGGAUGUGUGAAAAUAAGAAAAAGUUACAUUGGUACUUCGGUAGCAAUGAUGUGUCAUGUGAAAUGACAAAAUAUUGCAAUAGGAGAAACUUAUUGUAUAGAGUUUUCCUUUUUAAUUUGGGAAGGUAUUUUCAAGAAGUGCGUUUGUAGUUUAUAAUAUAAUUAUUGAAAAUAUAAAACUCUAUCCUUUUAUAAUUUUUUGGUUUAGUUUUAUUUAGCAAUCCGCUGACAAAAAGGAUAAAAAGUUACUUAAUUUUAUAAAUCGUGUAAUAAUUAUCGUUUAUAUUUGCAUUUCACUAUUUUAUGUUUUAUAAAAAUAUAACAUUUUUUCACUAAAAAGGGGUAAAUUUUUGUUAUUUUCUUUUCUAUUUUAUCCAUGGGGGACUCACACAACCACCCUAUUUUCGCAUAAGUUGGAAUAUAAUUAAAUAUGGACCAUUACCCCAAAUUUAAUAUACCAACCAACUACUCUAUUAAAGUGAUAAAUGAUUUAUUAGACAUUGGCUCUAUACUCAUCUAGAAUCGCAUUAUAAUAUUCUACUCCACCAAUCUCUCUAACGCGGAAUCGCUCGCUCAUGUGAAUUGCAUCCGACUGUAUAUCAUUUAUUAAAAUAUAUAUGUUGUACUUUAACUAGUGUCUUUAUAAAAUCAGAUUGAUUAUUCGACAUGGUUACUUGGAUUUGGGUACAAAUUUGUUCGACUUUAAUAACUAUAUUAGUAAACCCAAUAUGAUUCAAAAAGAGAAAAAAAAAAUUAAGUUUCCUUAUUAAUUAACUUGUGUACGUUUAAGUCUCCAACAAGUAUUUCAACCAGAAGUAGUUCUUUUAAUAGAACUACAGCUAGAAGUACUUUGUAGGGAAUUGGACCAAUUGAACUGUAUUGUGCAUCUUAAUUAAUUGCAACAGCUAGGACUUAGCCAAUUGUAGUUAACAACUAAACCAAAAGGAAGCUUAUUAAUUAUCUAUGUAACUUCAAUAAGUAAUGCAUAGAGUUAAAGCUUUUUGUAUUAUUUUCGAUAACGGAUAUCUGAUAAUCUACGGCUCAUAAACUUUCUAAAAAUUAAAUUAUGUGAUCCUCAACCAAAUAUAAGAUCGUCUUUUGUGAUCACUUAAUCAUCAUUAGGUAAAUAAGUUUCUACAAAGAUCUGACACUGUAGAUUGAUCAAUUGUAUUUACUAGAUGUCUUAUAAUUGAAAACGACUUCAUAAAUGAUAAACGAAAAAGAAAAAGACUAGAAAUGGAGGAGAUAUUAAAGGAGAGGCAGAUAACUUUCUACAAAGAUUUGAUAUGAUAGAUAUAGAUGGGUCAUAUUUAUUAGAUAUUUUCAAAACGACUUUGUGUAUAAAUAGUAAAGGAAAAGAAAAAGGCUAGAAAUGGAAAAGGUAUAAAAUCACUUACGUGGGGGUGUAAAUGAGGUAUCUGAGCAAGGGAUAGGAAUCAAAGAGCUCAAAGGGGAACACCUCCACAUUGCUGUAGCCCAUGCACCUCAAGUAGUCAAAGAUGAAGGUGUGGCAAUAGACCAAUCCAAGAGAGCCAUGCCCCAUCAAAAAGGCCCCAAGCAUUGGGGUCCCCAUGGCCACAACUUGAACCAAGUGCUCCAAGGGUGUAGCAUGCCCAGCUAUUUCCAAAAUGGCAAAAAAAAUAAAAAAGAAUCAUACAAAAAGCGAAUUAAAUUACAGUUUGUUUCGUAUAACAUCAAAGUACUAAGUACGUACGUAGUAGCCAUUUGCUUUGGUUUACACUGUUCCAAACAAAUGUUAAAAGAUAUAUAAUUGUCUAGAGAAAUAGUAAAUCGACAACCAAAAAGAUCCAUGUUGUAAUUCCUAUAAAUCAACCUCUUAAUUAACUAAGGGUGGUUGGGGUUUACUAGUCUCUUUCUAAGUUUUUUUAGUUGAAGAGAAGGAGAUGUGAGAAGCGUAGUGGAGAAAACAAUUUAGUUUUUGAACGAGAGUGUCGCAUCAUUAUAAUCCAUUUUGGAUUGUUCCGAAUACGACCUGCUCCGUGAUAACGCUACGAAAAAACCAUUCUUUCAAUCCAACUUAAUUUCAAUCUAAGUGCUAUAAUUAUUUAUUCCUUUUAUAAUAUUAAAUCGUUAGAAAAUUUUAAAAUAUUACAUUAGAUACGAAUCAUUUGUCUUGUACAGCCAAAAAGUAGCAUCUACACAUUCUUGUUUGUCAUCUUUAUGAAUUUAUAGUUCUCUUUCCCUAUUAAUCUAUCUGUCUAUAAGGUGCAGAAAAAGCAUCUUGUUGCAAAGGUACUGGAAAAAAAAAAUCAAGAUUGGUAGGAUGCUACUUUUCCACUAUAACAUAUAUAUAGUUAGUAUCUAAUUAAAAUAAUAUUUUUCUAGUGUUUUAAAGUUUAUGGACAAUAAAAUCACUAAAAUUAGUUAAGUGAUGAGAUCUACUACUGGUACCAAGAAUUAACUCAUGUUCUCUCAAUUUUUUUUAAAAAAAUACUAAAAAUUUAUUAAUGUUUGCGAACUCUAGGACAGGGAGCGUUAAAUGGACACCUCUUUUUUUGAAUGUCCAAGUGAAAUUUUUCUUAAGUGAUAAUGGCAAGAAGAUACAUAAGGAUUUUGUAUAUAUUUUAAAUUUUAGCCUUUUUAUUAUAUAUACUUUUCUAAUUAUUUUAAAAGAAAAUUACAAAUUUUUUUUUUUUUAUAUAGACUAUUUAAAAGUGGCAGAUCAUGGAUCCUACUUGCUUACAUUUGAAUUUAAAGGCAUCUAUCUAUGUAUAUAUAGACCGGGUGCAUGCAUUUAAUAAUUUCUCACAAAAAGGACAGAACACAACUAAGCAUCAUUUAAUGCAUGAAAAACUCCCCAACCAUCUAUGUCACUUCAAGGAAAGCUGGAGGUUUUAUUUCCACAUUAAGAGCUUUCCCUUUCUCUACUUUAUUGUUUCUCUUUUUUGUGUGUGUGUGUGUGUGUGUGUGUGUGUGUGUGUGUGUGUGUGUGUGUGUGGGGUUUUAAUUACCUACCUGUGUAGGGCUGGGGCACUGGGGAUGAGUGAUGAAGAGAGUGGUAGUUGGUGAAGAGAUAGCCUUUAUGGAAACACCUGUGCACCCAGUAGAACACUGGCUCUGAGAGAGCCACAUGCAGGAGCAGUGCAAUUAAGCACCCUUUGAGGUCCAGCAAUGGCAGGUCCUUCAGUGAUGGGGCUGAGUUGAAGGCCAUGGCACCAAUUAGGGCUUGGAGGAUGAGGAAGUUGUCCCUUCAAUAAGAAGAAGAAGAAGAAAACAAAAGUGUAAGGAGAGCGUUGUGAUUGUUUCCUAACAUUUAUCUUUUCACCAAACUAGUUUAAUUCCUAGGCUAUGUGUAAUAUCAGAGCUGGUCCUAAGUUUUCUUAGUUUACGACAAAUUUGCUAGCCACUUAUCUUCCUAGAUAGGUUUUUUUAAAAAAAAUUAAAAAAUGAAUGUGAAUGAAAAAAAAAGUUAACAAAAUAAAAGUAAGAGAGAGAUAAAUAUAACAGAAGUAAAUAUAUAUUCUAAUUGUAUCUCCCUUGCUACGUACGAAGCACAACAUGUAACCUUUUUUUAAAAAAAGAAAAGAUCUUGUAUUGGACUUAUUAUAAAAUAACUUAUAUUUAUCUUCUUUACAAUAUAUGUUUCAUAUGUACUAUUUUCUUUGAGCCUUUUUGAUAUAUUUGGAUUCCACAAAUUGUUUCUUUUGCAUUUCACUAAUUUUCUUUCCUCAAACGAUAUUAUUGCACUAUAUAUUUCUUUUAUUCUUUUUAAAAUGAAAAUAGUUUCAUCCUUCUAUAAGAAUAAUAAUAAAUCAUUUCCUUCAGACUGUAAUCAAUCUCUAUAAUUUCACUGAUCAUUUUUCUAUUUUUAUUCUUAAAUUUGAAAAACAAACCUGUCAACCAUAAUUUUUUUAAAAUUAAUUUUCUUUUCUUCCACUUUCAUCCUUACAAAAUAUAUACUAAAAGUGCACUCCUUGUAUUCCUUAAGUUUUGUUCUUUUUUAAAAAAAUUCUUUCUCUUUUCUUACAAGUAUAUAUAUAUAUAUAUAGAGAGAGAGAGAGAGAAGGGCUACUGUGCUAUUAGAAUUGUAGAUUGAGUUAAGAUCUUUUGUAGAUUGAUAAUUUCCUAUCAGAUCUCUAUUUCGGGUAAGAACAAAGAAGAAGAUCAAAAAAGGAAAGGCCAAAUUAAUUAAUGAAGAACUAUUGUUUCUUUAAUGAUCAUCUCCUGAAACCAAAAAAAUAAAACGAGCAAAUUAACAAACAAAUAAAAAGAUUUGGUUCAAUUAUUAGUACCAGUCCCACUCCUCGUCGAUCUGCUUGAAGUCGACGCCGUCGUUGACGACGCGCCGCCGCCGCGUGAGGAAGAGCAUGUUGCUGUAGGUGAACCACAGCUGGUGGAUGAGCCCUCUCAGGGCAAAGAGGAUGAGGAGGUGCAGAAACCAUGAGUUCAUCAACGUCCCCUUCUCCCAUGCAUCAUGCACACCCUUCGCCAUAAGAGGCCCAUACAAGAGAUACUGCAUAUAUACAUAUAUAUAUAUAUAUAUCCAUGCAUGCAUGCAAACCACAACAGAAUCAAUACAUCUACUUCAAAACAUAUGUAUAUAUAUAUAUGUAUGUAUGUAUAGAGCAUGAUAAAAAGGAAGUGAAAAAUAGAGAGGAAACACUUCAUGCCUUGCAUGAUCCCAAGUUAUCCCAAGGCCAAGAAGAUAAGGGGGCAACCAUUUCCUCUCCCCACCUUAGAGAGAGAGAGAGAGAGAGAGAGAGAGAGAGAGAGAGAGAGAGAGGAUGAGGGGGGUGGGGAGAGAAGGGUUUUGCCCUAUGUAUAUAACUUGUCCUGAGGGAUGUGAGGGAGUUGGGGGGGUUCAAGCUUCUAUAUAUAUAGCACACUCUCUCAAUUAAUUUGCCUCUUUACAUAUAACAAAGGGGUUGGAUUAGAGCAAUGAACACUAUAUAGGAAAAAGUUUAGAGAGAGAGAGAGAGAGAGAGAGAGAGAGAGAGAGAGAGAGAUUAACAGUGGGGAGAGUGAAGUAUAGAGGGGUGGGCUUUAAAUAAGGAUGGGUAAGAUUUACACCCAGCAUUGGCCCUUUUUUUUAUUCUUUCUAUUGGGGGCUUCCUUCUAGAUGAAGAGGCAAUGCUCAUAUAUGUAUAGAUAUGUAUCUUUCUUCUUUUCACAUUUUGUGUGGACCCAACUACACAUGCAGACCCUAAAUUUAGAGAGAUUAUUGUCUGAACCUGAUGUUUAACUGCAUCUUAUACACCACGCCCUCUAAAACCCCGUGAGUCCGCAACAGAGAUUUUAAAAUCAAAAUCUAAUUCAUUGGAUGUCUUUUCUCUAAUAUUGACUGCUGAAACUAACUACUUGAUGUGUUAAUAAUAAUAGUCUUUGUAGAUCUUCUCAUUUUUUAUGUAUAGAAUGGUGUAAUAGAUUAUACUGAAGGGAUUGGCCCAGAGAUUACUGAAUAUACCUCAAAUUCACACAAUAUACGAGUGCAACGGAAACAAAAUUUUUCAUAGAUGAAAAAAAACGAUCUUCAAAAAUAAGCAACGAGGAUAACAAAAUAAUAAAAAAAAUUAAGAGAACAUAAAAAUACAGAAUUUACGUGCAUGCAUGGUUCGGUCAACUAUGACCAACUCAGCGCGUUGUUCGAUUGACCCACGACACAAAAAUCACUCUCACAGGAACCUUUCGCAUUUUUUCUCUCAACCAGGGUAUUUACAAUGAGGCCCUCUCUUUCUGAGAAACCUCCAACAAUGAAGGUUUAAUCUCUAAAUUAUAAAUUAGAAGGAUUUAUAACACUAAAAAUUCAAGUUUUAGUAGGAAACAAUUUUCGCUGUCCAUCUGAGUUCCUAAUUUAUUUUUAGUCGUUGAUCUUCUCUUAAACACCACUUUCAUGGUUUUCCUGAACCAUCCCAAAUCUCGAAACACAAAAUUAGAUUAAAUUGUACGGAGCUGAGUAUUGGUCCUGAACUGAAACGCCCCCAGAAUUUUAAUAUCCAUACUCAAUACAAAAAAGAUUUUCACAAAUUCAGAGUUUGAAAAACUUCUGAGAUACUUUUCAGUACUAGUACUCAAACUUUAAGUUCCAAUAGUUUUUUUUUUUUUUAGAGAGAAAGGUAGUAUUUUAUCCGUUUCGUUUAUUUCAUUUAGAAAUAAAUUUAGCUGAAAAUGUGAAUCAACUAGGAUUUGAACUUGAGUCUCGGUACGAACCACCAAGCCUUUUUGCCACUUGCGCUAGAAACAGUCGGUUCAAGUUCCAAUAGUUAACAUUCAGAAAUCUCAAGUUCGAAUCCUAAUUGAUUUACAUUUCUAACUAAGUUUAAACGAAACGGGUAGAAUGCUUUCUAUCUCUAAAAGGAAAACAUCCAGAAAUCUCAAAUCUUUGAAUUUUGCACUAACUAUUUUAUGCUUCCAAUAAUAUAGUAGCUCUACACUAUAUAUAUAUAUAUAUAUAUAUAUAUAUAUAUAUAUAUAUAUAUGCUAGGGUUACUAUACUUUUAUGAGUAUAGAGCCUUUUGUACUCAUAAGUUUUCAGCUGUUGCAUAAAGAGAUGUGCGGUUAGGAUGGUAGUGUUUUCCAGUUAAGCUGAUAGUGGUCCCCUAGGGUUGAGUGGGUGGUUGGUUGAAUAGUAUGCUCUAACGGAUGAAAAUGAUCAAAUUGGUAUUUCUAACGGACGAAAAUUUAUAAGCACAAAGAGAUCUAUACUCAUAAGAGUAUAGUAGCUUGACUCUCUCUCUCUCUCUCUCUCUCUCUCUCUCUCUCUCUCUCUCNCUCUCUAUAUAUAUAGAGAGAGAGCUAAGAUACUAUACUAUACUACCGGUAGUAUAGUCUAGUAUAGUAUAGUAUAGUAUAGAGAGAGAAAGAGAGAGAGCAAAGAUACUACACUAUUGGUAGUACGGAGGCCUACUACCAAGUUGUUUUUAGUAAUACGACUUUCAUAUCAACGAUCGGCUCUGUUAGACUUGAUCUACACUAUUGAAAGUAUUUGAAAACUAAAUUUCAUAAUUUUCAAUAUUAUUUGACUAGUGAUCAAAUGAUCAAAACUUGACAAUUUUAAUGGUCGAUGUGAUGCGUUUGUGAAUUUAAAGGUGUAAAGUAAUUCAAAUCUGAUUAAAUUUCUAUAGAAAUUUUUUUUCACUAUUUAGAGUAAGAUCAUUACCUCUGAUCUUAAAUUCAAGUCUUGUAUUAUUAUUUUUUAUGAGAUUUUUAUUUUUAGUCAUUUAUUUUUAGACUACUCGUUUGAUAGAUGAAUGAUAUUGAAAACUUAUAAAAUUUAGUUUUCAAAUAUUUUCAAUAGUAUAGAUCAAGUUUAACAGAGUCGAUCAUCGAUUUGAAAGCUGCAUCAUUAAAAACAACUUGGUAACACGGAGGCCUUCGUGCUACCGAUAGUAUAGCAAGCACCACACUAUAUAUAUAUAUAUAUAUAUAUAUAUAUAUAUAUAUAGUGUAGAGCUAUUAUGCUAUCGAAAGUAUAGAGGAUUUGUUGUUUUCGAUUUGUGACUCUUGGAUCAACAAUUAUACUGUUGGAAUGAUUGCGGUCCCCCCUAAGGUUGAGUAGUAUCCCUAGGAUUGAAUGGUCUUGGCCUACAAGGUACGUAGUAAUAGUAUUAAUCCAAAGGUUAAAAAUGAUUAAAAUUGUUGAUUUAAGGGGUAAAAAAUUGAAAGCACUAGAUUCUCUAUACUUCCGAUAACAUAAUACCUCUACUCUCUCUCUCUCUCUAUAGAAAGAGAGAGAGAGAGAGAGAGAGCUAGGUUCUUAUGCUUUCGAUGAUGGGACAUUCGAUUUGACGAUCUAUUCUAUUAAGUAAGAUAUACGCUAUUAAAAUUAUUUAGAAAUCAAAUUUUAUAAUUUUUUGAUUUCGUUUGCUUAGUGAACAAGUACCCUCAAAAGAAACCGCUAAAAAUAAAAAUCUCAUAAAAAAUAAUGAUAGAAGAUUCAAAUUUCAAAUCAAAGCAUUGUUCUUACUCUUGAUCGAUAUUACAUAGAAGUUUUUACUAAAAUUUCAUAUAAUUUAGAUUUUUCUAUACUGUUGAACUUACAAACGUACCACAUCUGCUGUUAAAAUAGUCAUUUUUUAGGCCCUCUGAUUACUUGAUAAAUGAUGUCCAAAAAUUAUAAAACUUGAUUUCUAAAUAGUUAAUUCUAAUAGCGUAGAUCAUACUUAACGAAGUUGAUCGUUGAAUUGGAUGUUCCAUUAUCGAAAACAACUUACAGCCGCCUCCGUAAUUUCAAAAGCACAUGAGAUAUACUCAUAAUAGAGCUAGGCUUCUACGUUUUCGAACGGAUAUGAUUCGUGCAGUGAAUAAUGAGAUAUAUGUACUUACAUGUGCGCCCGGUGCAAGCACUAGUUUCUUGCUAAUUUUGAAGUCCAGUACUAUCAAGAUCACAGCCAUUAACAGUUGCACCUCCCAUUCAAUGCCCAUGCACUGAAAUUUCGCAAACACAUCACGAGGUGGGGGCAACAACUAUUUGCUGUUAUAAUAGCUGGUUCAGAGCAUUCCCCACAUUAAAAACCCUACACACACACACCCCCCAACAUAUACAAUUAGCUGUACAUAUAUAUCUACCGGUUGUUAUUUGUCCUUCACUGCUAAGUUGGCUUAGGGGCCAUUAAUGUCAUGAGAAGGAUCGAUCGAUGCAUCAAUUUAUGUACAUAUAUAUAGGUUUGGGUGAGAAAGAAAUUAACUUAUUGCUAGGGAUAAUAAGGGUAAUCUGAUAACUGCACCGUUCGUCCUCAACCUUUGUAUUAAUUUUCGCUUCAAUUUUUAAUAUUUGCUAUUAAAUGGUAUAUAAGUGUUUAUGUUCGUGCUAUCACAAACUCCGUUAAAUCGAAACAAAUGGAUAUAAAUAUAUAUAUGUAUUGCCACGCGUGGCAAGCUUUUGGUGUUGACAAAGCCUCCAUUGAUACUGAUGUGACAAUUUUUUGUUAGCUAGAGUUAUUGGAGCUUCGCGACUUAAUUGGAACAAUUAGAUCAAAAAGCAAGAAUUAGGAAUCAAUCAGAUUGUAAUAAAUAAAACAAAAGUAGCGAAAAAAAAUUCGAUGAAGAUCAGUAACCCAAUUUAUUUUGAUUAACUGAGCAAUUAAUAGGAUCGAAUACAAACAUUAAAGUUAUAUAUAGGCCAAGUAUAUUUUUAUUUCCCCUGAUGUAUCUAGGUUAGCUAAAAUCGCAACACGUACGGCGGAGAUAAAUCAUCUCGGAUUUACAAAACGAAUUUCAUUUUCUUAUUUGGAACUCGAAGGUUGUUGUACGAAUUAUAUGAUCAUGAUCUCUAUCAACUAUAUUAGCACUCUAAAACUUUAUUAUCUUAUACAGUAAAACAGUAUAUGAUUUUCUAGAUUAAUUUAACUACCUAGUGAAGCUACAUAAAGUUUCCUCAAAUCUCAGCAAUCCAAAAGCUCUAUUCAAUUAUUCUGUUAGUCAAUGUAUUCAUGCUUCUUCACAAAGAUGUACUGUGGGGUUCACAUGUUAUUUUUGUGGUGAAAUGCUUUGAUUCUCCUUUUAUUUUGGUCUCACAUAUUAGUAAAUUAAUUUGAAACUUUAAAGUGCAUGUAUGAAUUAAUUAAACAUCUUUUAUUGUACAUUAUAUGUUAAUAGAUGAAAAAUAUAUAAAGAGAGCAGCUAAAAGAAAUAAAUGAAAGUGUUUAUAUACUUCUACAUUAGUUUCAACAAUAGAACAUUCAAAUCGACGAUUAACACAGUUAAAUUUGAUCUAACCUUUCUGAACUUCUAAGACUCCAAAUUUUACGAUUUUUUUUCACAUUAUUUAACUAUUAUUCAAGUGGUCUGAAAAUUGACCAUUUAACUUUAAUAGCUAAUAUAUAAUGUGAAUUUGAAACCACUUAAUAAUUAGACAAAUCAUACCAAAAAUCACAAAAUUCAAAUCUUAUAAACUGUAAAUAAUAUAGAUUAUGUUUAAUGAUAGUCAUCAUUGGAUGCUCCUUCAUUGAAAACACGGAAAAGUAAAAGCCUGUGUUUACUUCUAGAACUAUUAUAGUUUUACACAUGUAAAGAUGAAAAAAAAUUGAUGAUCCUCAACUAUUUUUAAAAGAGCAUGUGAGGGGCACAACAUAUAGCUGAGUAAAAGAGAAUAUUUUAUGUUUUUGAGGGAGAAAGUUGGUUUGGCCACAUCUAUUAUCACCAUCACCUCACAAAGUAUAUAUUAAUGUGUCUAGUUCGAAAUCAACCUGUCCAUUUUCCAUAAGUUUGAAGUACGUACGUACGUUAAAUCGUUAGCUUAACCUAAACAUGUCCAUUGAUUUAAUGGAUUUAAUUGAUUGAUUUAUAAGUUUCGAUGGUGAGAAAUUGCAUUGAUUAUUUUUUGACCUUGACCCAUCAACUUCCUAAUAAUAACAUGUUUAACAUCACUUUCGUGUUCUUCUUAAUAAUAUUGAAAUAAGGUUGAUUCCGUCAAAGUUUAUCAUUUUGUCGUAACUCGUAAAUUAAUGUCGGAACUGAAGCUAUAUAUAUAUAUAUAUAUAUAUAUAUAUAUAUAUAUAUAUGACUCGUUUACUUCGAGAGUAUUCUAGCUCAAUCUAUAUAUAUAUAUAUAUAUAUAUAUAUAUAGAAUUAUGCUAGAUGCUAUUAAUAGUAAAUGCUUUUUUUGCUAUCAAGUUUUAAUCUUUGGAUGAAAAAUUGUAGGGUCAGAAUGAUAUUAGUCGGUUAAGUUGAAUGGUCUCCCUUAGGGUUGAGUGGUUUCCACUGGAUUAUAGUAUUUAUCCAAUGGUUAAAAAUAAUGAAGAGUUGAUCCAAAGGCUAAAAAAACUGAUAGCAACAAUAAAAUUUGCUAUAAUAGUAGCCCAGUCACUCUCUCUCUCUCUCUCUCUCUCUCUCUCUCUCUCUCUCUCUCUCUCUCUCUCUCUCUCCUCUCUCUCUCUCUCUCUCUAUAUAUAUUAUAUUUAUUAUAUUGUUUUGCUAGAAUACUAUCGUAGUAAACAGUCGAUUUACUACCAAUUAUUUUUAAUGAUAGAGCUUCCAAAUUGAUGAUCCGGUCCAUUAAAUAUGAUCUAAACUAUUUAAACUAUCUAAAAUCAAAUUUCAACAUUUUUGAUAUUGUUUUCUUGUCCAUCAAGUGAACAGAAAUAUGAAUGGCUGGAAAUGAAUAUCCUUCAAAAAGUGAUGAUACAAUUUUUAUAUUUGGAGUCUAGAGUCUAGAUCUUAUUUUAAUAGUUUAAAGAAUUUUAACAAAAUUUAGUUGAUUUAAUUCUUCUAUACCGUCAACGAGCAAACGCACCAUAUCGGCCAUUAAAAUUAUAGAUUUUGUGACACCUUUGAUCGUUCAAUUAGUGAUGCCAAAAAUCAUGAAAUUUGAUUUCUAGAUAAUUUAAAUGGUUUAGAUCAUUGUUUAAUGUACCGAUCGUCAAUUUGGAAGCUCUAUCCAAAAACAAAUUUGUAGUAAACGAACAGUUUAUACCGAUAGUAGCCCAGUCAACUCUCUCUCUCUCUCUAUAUAUAUAUAUAGUGAGGCUACUAUGUAUCGGAAGCACGGAGCUUCUGUGCUUCCAGCUCGUUUUCGAUGUUGCGACUUUCGAUCGUCGAUCGGCUCAUUAAAUUUGAUCUAGAAUAUUUGAAGUACCUAGAAAUAAAAUGAUUUUACGAUAUCAUUUGCCUAGUGAACGAAGGGGCUCAAAAUCAACGGUUGAAAUAAAAAUCUUACAAAUUAAUAAUAUUGAUAUUAAAAUUUUAAAUCAAGAUAUUGAUCUUGUUUUAUAUAGUAUAAAGAAUUUCUAUCAAAUUUCACGUGAUUUGGAUAUUUCUACACGUUAAACUUACAAACGGCUCACUACGGCUAUUUGAAUUGUUGAUUUUGAGCCCAUUCGAUCACUAGGCAAAUGAUAUCGAAAAAAUAAAAUUUAUUUUCUAAGUACUCCAAAUACUCUAGAUCAAGUUUAACGGAGACGAACGAUGAUUCGAAGUCGCAAUAUCGAAAAUGAGCUGAAGCACGGAAGGCUCCGUGCUUCCGAUAGCAUAGUAGUCUACUCUAUUAUAUAUAUAUAUAUAGUAGGCUGGUAUGCUUAUGGAAGCACGGAGCCUCCGUUCUUCCACUUUGUUUUCGAUGUUCGACUUUCGAAUCGACGAUCGCUCGUUAGAGUUGAUCUAGAGUAUUGAAGUACCUAAGAAAUAAAUUUUGUGAUUUUUCGAUAUCAUUUGCCUAGUGAUCGAGAGGCUCAAAAUCAAUAAUUUUAAUGGCCGUGGUGAGCCGGUUGCAAGUUUAACGGUUGUAGAAAUAUCCAAAUCGUAUGAAAUUUUGAUAGAAAAUUCUUUAUAUCAUAUAAAACAAGAUCAAUAACUUUGAUCUAAAAUUAUUUUCAUAUCAUCAUAUUUGUAAGAUUUUUACUUUCAACCGUUGAUUUUGAGCCACUUCGAUCACUAGGCAAAGUGAUAUCGAAAAUCGCAAAUUUAUUUCCUAGAUACUUCAAAUCUCUAGAUCAAGUCUAACGGAGCCGAUCGUCGAUUCGAAAGUCGGAAAUCGAAACAAAGUGGAAGCACGGAGCGCUCCGUGCUUCCAUAGCAUACCAGACGCACUCAUAUAUAUAUUAGGCCAUGGCUCUACUAUUAUGAGUAUUGGGCCUCGUACUCAUAAGUUGUUUUUCAAUGAUGGAGCUUCCGAAUCGACGAUCCAUGCCGUUAAAUAUGAUCUAGAGAUUUUGAAACUUCUAGAAAAUAAAUUUCGUAAAUUUUUGAAAUCAUAAUAAAGUCUAUCAAGUGGGUAUAAAAUGAACGGUUAAAUCGAACGACGUCCUAAAAAAGGAUAAUCGGAUCCUUCAAUUCAAGAUCGAAGUUAUUGAUCUUUUAUCUAUGUAAUGAAUAGAAUUUUCUAUCAAAAAUUCAACAAAUUCCGAUUCUUUUACACCUUUAAACUAACAAGUAUCCAUACCGGCCGUUAAAAAUUGUCAAAUUUGUGACCUCUUGAUCGUAAGGUAAAUGAUGUCGAAAAUUUAUAAAAUUUGAUUUCUAGAAGUUUUAAAUGCUGUAAAUAACGUUUAAAUAACGGUGUGGAUCGUCGAUUCGGAGCUCUAUCAUUGAAAAUAAUUAUAAGUCAGGGCGAUCGUACUCAUAAUAGUAUAGUAGCCGGACCUAUUAUAUAUAUAUAUAUAUAUAUAUAUAUAUAUAUAUAUAUAUAUAGAGAGGGGAUCACAUCAUUCUAACCAUAUAUUUUUCAAUCCAAGGAUUAAAAAACUAAUAACACUAAUAGCUUGUACUAUUAAUAUUCCAGUCUAGUUCUAUAUAUAUAUAUAUAUAUAUAUAAUAUAUGUUGAGUAUAAAAUAUGAAAACACCGUAAGUAAUUAAUGAUUGUUAUGCAUAGUCGUAAAAUCAGGAACUAUUUACUUACAAUUAAUGGGGAAAAAAAAAAAAUCAAUCAGUGGGUUAACUUCAACGUGGCCUUUCGCGAUUUAGCUUAUUUUUUACUUUAUCAUUUUGUGAUAUAAAAAAUUAUACUUUAUUAUCUUGCAAUUUUAUUUUAUUUUACGGGGUCAGCAUACACUAUUAAAUAAAGCAAUAAAAUUGCACUUUUACACAAUUCCUUAAUCUGUACUUUAUCCUGACAUGUGGUUUGUGGUAAGAAAAAUACUUGGGGUGCCUCAAUUUUUAAUACACCUUAUUAUGUUAUUGAUGUGUUUAGGGUUUAGUGCAUAAUGAUGGUACUUGAGCUUAAUUAUGAUAUUAUGGCCGUAGAAUUAAUGCAUAAAUAUAUGAUCCGAUCACUACUUCCUUUACUAACAAGGCCUUACAAUAAGGCGCGUUUGAUUUGCGCUAUCUUUUUAAGAUUCCUAAUAAUCCGAUAAGAAUAAAAAAAUAUGACGAUGUUUGGCUAAAGGCACUAAGUAAUCUAGUUGGUAAUAUUAGAUUUACUUGGGAAUGAAAUUCAUCCCAAAGUACUAAUCUCAUCCCCUUGAGGGAUGGUGGGUAUCCUCAUAUUAAUGGAUUGGGAUAAUCAUAAUAUGUCUAAUAUCUUUCUUUCUCUUUACCCGCCGGCUAGUUGGUUUUAUUUUUCUUUAUACUCUAACCUCAUAUCUCUCUCUAAAUUUAUUUUUUUUCUCUCUAAACUUCAAUUCUUUUUCUCUCUCUAAACUAAGCUCUCUCCCCCCCUCUUUUUCUAAAAUCGCAACUCUCUCACUCCCUCUAAUCUCGAUUCUAUUCCUCUUCCUAUUUCAUUAAUUAUGCUCUCUCUCUAACCUAUGUUCUCUCUCUUUCUUUUUUUAAAAAAAACGUUGAAAUUUUUGGUGGCAUUAUCUAAAAUUAAUUAAAAAAAAUAAAUUAAUUAAUUGUAUAUUUUUUUGUAAACUUAAAUAACAUGACUAAAUAAUAUAACCGUGCGAACCAAACACAGGAAUGCCACAUUCUUAGUAAUAGGAUGAAUAGGAAUAAGAUUCUCGGACAUCUUUUUAUUACUAGUAAUCUUUCAUAGUGCGAACCAAACGCACCCUAAAGUAUAAACUUUUAUUUCAAGUUUUUCGACAUGGUUUAAUACAUUUUUUAAACUUUAUCAUCUUAUAAUUUUUCCAAAAAAUUAUUAUUUUAUAAUUUUAUUUUUGUUUUCUCAUACUCACCCACCAUUAAGCAGCACAGCACAGCAAUGCAUUUUACAAAUUAACCAUCAUCCUAUGGUUAAUUAAUCUAUAAAUUAAUAUAUCACUUCGCUACCUUAUUUACUAGUAGAGCUUCCGUUACAGUGAAAUAAAUAAUAACAAUAAUAAUAAGACUAUACGAUAGUAUGUUAAAUAAAAAAUAUAAAAACACCGUCCUCGACUCUCUUAAGUUUCUAAAAAAUAACGAUUUUUUAAUAUAAUUUAACAUAAUAAAAUAUAAUUUUUUAAACCACAGCGGAAUAAACUGCGGUUGACCAGUAAAUGCAACCAAAGGGUGGAGACUUAAAACCCCAAUCCGUACGUUCAUAAUUAAAUAAUCAGGUUGACUCAUCAAGAGUACACACGCAAUAUAUUAUGUUUGGUGAGUUUGAAGCUUCGAAGAAGAGACAUGAUUAACUAAUUAACGAAUUAGUUAAUUAAUUAAUACCGGGGUGCUAAUUAAUGAAAUACGGCAGGUUCGUUGGAUCUUGGUUGGGUGAAGUCGGCAACGAAUCCGCGUACAUUAAUUCCAGCCCUCCUCCCCUCACCGCUCACCUUCCAACCACAUGCACCAGUGACCAGUCCAUUCCAUCCUACCUUAGCCACAAUUUGACCAUGCAACUAACUCUAGCUUACUAUAGCUUCCUAUGAGAUCGCGCAUCUCGCUGCGCGACCUUGUCAGUACAUAACAUGGUAUGAGAGCCAGUCCUAAGCCCUCUCUGUCAGUUUCGAGCGGUUUCGAGUUUGAUCCCCACGUCUCGUCACCUCUUCGGUCAGUGCACCUGGUGUGGUUUAUUUUCUACUUACUCGAUGAACUUUAGUAUAAUUUUGAAAAAUUACAAAAUUCGGAUUCUGGACAUUUCAAAUUCUCUAAUUUAACUAUAUGAGUUAUCGAUUUGGAACAAGGCCGUUAUACUUAUAAUAGUAUGAACACACACGCGAGCCUUGCGCAAAGGCUAAUCUUGAAUUAUUUGUAAUUUUUUAAAUAAUAUGGAUAUAAAUAUUAGAAUAUUAUUCUGUAAUCAACUAAUUUAUGAAGAUAAAUAGCUGUUAUAGAGUUAAAGAGGACGGCUAAACCCAUUCUGCCUGGCGAUGAAAAGUAUUUGCCGACUUCUAAUAAACUUAAGAUGUGGACUUAAAUCAGAUAGGGCGAAAUUAGAAUUAACCGGAUCGAAACUCAUCGACGUUCGACUCUUGAGGACCUCUUACUCUGAUAUCGUAAUAAAGAAAACCAUUUGCCUUCUGAACACGUAAGCUGGUAGAGAACAAUGUAUUUAAUAUUUCGUACUCAAUGGAAAGGGAAUGGCUGCCAUUCCGAAUUAAGCCAUUUCAAAGAGGGACGCUGUCCAUCGACUGCUUCAGGAAUGGCGAUCCACCUUCAUGUUAUAGCACGAAUAAAACUAACAUUUAACAUUGAAAAAAGAAAAAAAAAAGCUUUAAAUUAGUGUGCCAAUAGUUAUGAUAAGUUAAUCAGGCCUCUUAGAACUCAUCAUAAAAGUGAACGAAACGCGUUAACUCGCCUUAGAAUGAAAGUAGAAAACAACAAAUUUUUACAUGAUUUGAUCGGCCAUAUCCAGCGCAGUUGGCUAAGAACUUGUUGAUUAACAUCUGAGGUUCGAAGUUUAAAACUUAAUUACUUUAUAUUUUUAACUGAGUUCAUUUUUAAAAAAUGAAUAAAACAAAUAACUUGCUAUCUUUCUUUCUCUCUGAAAAAAAAAAAAAAAAAGAUCAUAAAGGGUUGGGAUAUUCCACUGAUAGCGAUAAGGAAAGGGUAAAGCGAAGCUCAAUAAGUUAUGCUACAUUUACAACUAUAAUUUUAUUUUAAUUAAGCUCAUAACUUGUCUCUUCAAAAGUCAAAAUUUUCAUACUUUUCAAUUUUUUCAAUAUACUAUAAAAUCUAAAAAGAAUUGUUUAAAACUGAACAACCUACUUAAAAUGGUUCGAAAGGCUCAAUAAAUGAAACUAAUAAAUGUGGAGAUAGAGUGCACAGGCGUAGGGUAAAAUUAGAAUACUUCUAGAAGCAAACAAAGUCAUCUGACUUAAUCAUCAGUUAUAUUAAACAUAAUCUAAGCUAUUUAGAUUUUCAAAAAAAAAAUUACGAUUUUUUGAUACUUGUCAAAUUCAUUUUAUAUUAGCUUUUAAAUCAUUUGAAGACUAGGAAAUUGACAUAAAGAAAUUUAUACAAUUUGAGACCUAAAAAUUUUAAUUAUAAAAUUAUAUUUAACAGCGUCGGUCAUCAAUUUGAAUGCGCAGUUUGCGAUAACGAUGCAGAAAUAAACGCUUAAAUGAUUUCAAGAACUAUUCUACCCUAACUCUCUCCCUCUCUCUCUAGAUCUCUCUCUCUCUCUCUCCAUAAAUAAUGAGAAAUAAAUAUAAAUAUGUAGACACAGUUUUGGUCAACUAUGGAUUCCUGUUUUUACCUGCACAAGCUUUGAUUCAAAGAACAUGGUGCAUUUAUUCGACUGCAGCCGCCCAGGAGCAAACCCUAACCACCCCAAUCACUGCUUCUAUUCUCUCUCUCUCUCUCUCUCUCUCUCUCUAUAUAUCCAUUUUAAUGCCAAUGCCUAUUUUGAAUAUAAACUGUAUCAAUCCAAGAACUUAUUUGUCCCUCAAAAUUUGGUAUAUAUCUGAUUUGUUUCUGUUUCCAAAUUCACUUGACUGUUAUAUGAUUUGCUCCUUAUCAGUCUAUUUUCAAUAUAUCCUUGCUCUUGAGGGUUUAUUGGAGAGAUUUUAAAUUUUAGAGUAGAUUUGAAAACUUAGUAUGUUGAAAACAUAAAUUAAUUUACCCCAUCCGAGAAAAGUUUCUUGUAAUUUUCUUUUUCUUUUUUUUUAUGUGGGUGAUUUCUCACGAUUAGGAAAGAUUGCGUUAUGUGCGUUUAAAAAGUACGAUAAAAAAAUAUUUUGUUUAUUUUCGUACGUAAAAACAUUGUAUUCCGCAUAUAGUAUUUGAGUCUAUUGCAAUAUAAUUUUUAUGGCCCUACCGAAAAGUGCAAGAUCAUAUACUUUCGCUCCGACUCUAUUUUAUCUGUUAGCUUUAGAUGGGCUUCAACACCAAAAACCAAACAAGCCAUAAGUGGAGGCUGUUGGCUUUAAUGUGCCAGCAUGCUGCCCUGUGGCGGGAGGCCAUGUUGAGCCAAAUCAUGUUCGAAAUGGCGUGAGGCUAGGUGGACUGAGUCAUGUUCGAAGUGGCGUGAGGCUGGUUCGGUCGAGUCACAAUCGAGACCCGUGGGCACUGUAUCUGUACGCUUUAAGUGAAUUGGUCGCAUAUUUCUGAGAGCUCGAGCUUUUGGGAUUAAUGGAUAGCACCAAUGAUCUGACAGAGGCUUCCCUCGGAGUUUUUAAGCCUUUUAUUUUGGAGGCCUGGAGCAAGUUUGGCUCAACUUGCCAAAAAAAGAAAAGAAAAAAAAAAGAAAAAAUAAGAUUGGAUUGGCUGAUUGGGCGGACUAGGUUGAAUUUGUUCUGUACCUAUCAAAAACUCCACCGGAGAAAAUUGACAUUGUUAGAAUAUUUAUGAAGUCAUGGUGAUAGGUUUGAAACAGAUAGAGUUUGAGUCGAGCCAAGUCGACCAUUUGAGGAGAAGUUUAGGGGGUUUGAAUCAGAAAAAUAGGGGGUAAUAAUGAAUUUCAAAUGUGCUUCUCAAAAGUUAGAAAAUAUUAAGUAUAUACUUUCAAAAUAAUUUAUAUCAUUUGUUCUCUAUAAAUUAAUAAAUUAUAUCGCGAAUGUAAUUCCCACAAUAUAUAUCCUUCCUCAUGUUGGCUAAGAAUUUUGGACUAAUUUGCCCCCAUUUAUAUCUGAUUAUAAAUAAUUUUAUAGUAUCAUGUAUGGUUAAUAAAUUUAUUUCUCAUUAAAAAUUGUCUUUAUUUUUGUUUAUAAUUUACUUUAUAUUUGUCUUUUUGGUCUACUCAAGUUUAUAUUUUCUUUAUAAUUCAAUAUUAUAUGGGCCUCACUUUGAUCUAAAUUAGUUUGAUUUUUUUUAACUAUAUGCAAUUAUGCAUUGUUUAGUUCAUUCCAAUUAAUUAGUUUCAAUUUAAUAUACAUUUAAUUAUAUUUAUAGUUUUUGAGAAAUUUUUUAAGUUAAUUAAAAAGACACAAAAAAUAGAAGCUGGGUAAAUAAAAAUUUUAUAAAAUUUUUAAAUGGAUUAUUAUCAAUAUGGGUAUUUGUGAUAGUUUUUGAAAAUUAGAAGGAUAUUUUUGACAUUAACACUGUUAAGAAAAAAAUUAUGUAAUUAAUUAAGGGUUACAGUAAGGGCACGUAUUAAAUAAAUUAUCAUAAAAAAUAAACUAUUUGAGAGUGCUAUUUGGGAACGGCCUAAUAGUUGAUGGGCCUCCAUGCAUUUUUGUGCAAUUGAACUGUAUCCUUUCGGUUUUUUUUGGAAAAAAAAUAAUAACAAAUUAUGUCCUUUUGAUUGGGUUGUGGCCCAAAAUUUAAUAAAUUAUAGGCCCAAUUUCAAGAGAUUGACACAAGAUAUUGUGUCACCACUCACCAUGAGAUUUUUGUUAAAAAAAUAAUAAAAAUAAAAAUGAAGGGUGUGUUCGAAAGUAAUUUUUUUUGGGGGCGUUAAAUUUUCGUUUUUAGUGUAAAUUAAAGAGUCAAAAAGGUAUAGAACAAUUCAUUGGGUAUGAACUAGUUUAUGAACUUCAUGAAUGAUAUGAGUUUUCUUCUUUUUUUUUUUUUUUGAGAAAAGGUAGCGAGCUACCUGAUUCAGUCAUUAAGCUAAAUGAACUGGGCGUACAUGUUGGAAGCAGCCAGGGUCUCCGGUGCGCAAAAACAGGGAAGGAGUAAGACAAAAUCAAAAGAAAUCGAAAGAAACAAAACAGAUCAGGAAAGCGAGCGAGAGAGGUAGGAACAGUUCACAAAAAAUUCCGCCAAGUUGUCACUAGGAGUUUGGCGCGAUCGAGGGCUCGGACUGCAUCAGGGGCCUUUAAAUUGAAGAUAAAAUAGUUUCUUUCAGUCCAGGCAACCCAUCAGAUUGCCGCCAACGAAAAUAGACCUUCCGAUCUUUUUUACUGCAUCGUGAGUGUCGGAAAUAGAACUCCACAGAUUACGAACAUCGCACGGUUCUGCAUCAUGUACCUCCGAGAGUUUCUCAACGGAGAGGAGUAGGAAUCGGACGAACACGCAGUGGCCGAAGAGGCGGUCGUGGCUUUCUGUAGAUGAGGCACAGAAGACGCACUGUUGGACUACCGCCAUUCCUCUAUGGAGCAGUCUGCCGGCUAUGGGAAGUCUCUUACGUAGCAGCAGCCAGAUGAAAAUUUUAAUUUUGGAGGGAAUUCUAAGUCUCCAUAAGUGCUGGAUCGUGAGGUAAUGAUACGAGUUUUCUUUAUAUUUGUAUUUAUAUAUAUAUAAAGAGAGAGAGAGAGAGAGAGAGAGAGAGAGAGAGUCCGGCUACUAUACUCUUAUGAGCACGAUCGCCUUCGUACUCAUAAGCUGUUUUCAAUGAUAGAGCUUCCAAAUCGACGAUCCAUACUGUUAAAUAUUAUUUAGAGCAUUUAAAAUUUCUAAAAUCAAAUUUUAUAAUUUUUCGACCUCAUUUACCUUACGAUCAAAAUGUCACAAAAUUAACAACUUUUAACGGCCGGUAUGGAAUACUUACUAGUUUAACGGUGUAAAAAAAUCAAAAUCCGUUGAAUUUUUGAUAGAAAAUUCUAUUCACUGUCUAGAUAGAGAUUAAUAACUCUGAUUUUAAAUUGAAGGAUCCAAUCAUCUAUUUUUAGAAUAUCGUUCGAUUUUGUCCGUUCAUUAUGAAAUUUAUUUUUUAAAAGUUUCAAAUAUUCUAGACCAUAUUUAAUGGAGUGGAUCGUCGAUUCGGAAGCUUCAUCAUUAAAAACCACUUAUAAAUAUGAAGAACUUUAUACUUAUAAGAGUGUAUAUAUAUAUAGUAGGCUGGUAUGCUUAUGGAAGCACGGAGCCCUCCGUGCUUCCAUUUUGUUUUCGAUGUUCGGACUUUCGAAUCGACGAUCGGCUCCGUUAGAGUUGAUCUAGAGUAUUUGAAGUAUCUAGAAAAUAAAUUUUGUGAUUUUUCGAUAUCAUUUGCCUAGUGAUCGAAGGGGCUCAAAAUCAAUAAUUUUAAUGGCCGUGGUGAGCCGGUUGCAAGUUUAACGGUGUAGAAAUAUCCAAAUCACAUGAAAUUUUGAUAGAAAAUUCUUUAUACCAUAUAAAACAAGAUCAAUAACUUUGAUCUAAAAUUUUAAUAUCAUAUCAUCAUAUUUUGUAAGAUUUUUAUUUUCAUCCGUUGAUUUUGAGCCACUUCGAUCACCAGGCAAAUGAUAUCGAAAAAUCGCAAAAUUUAUUUUCUAGAUACUUCAAAUAUUUUAGAUCAAGUCUAACGGAGCCGAUCGUCGAUUCGAAAGUCCGAACAUCCAAAACAAAGUGAAAGCACGGAGCGCUCCGUGCUUUCAUAAGUAUACCAGACGUACUAUAUAUAUAUAUAUUUCCUAAUCUCUUGUAAUUUUAUUGUCUCAGUGUUAAAGUUUAACCACCAAAGAAUUUAGGUGACAUAGUAGAGGAAUCGAUAGAUAGUGAAUUAGUUACAUUUUUUUUUUUUUUUACUCCUUAAAGAGAAUCAAAGAAUAUUCAUGUGAUUAACGUGAGAGGGACAUGACACGUAGAUUGGGCCAUGAGAUCUCUUUGUUUUUUUGUGUACGUAGUUUCAAGUUGGUUCAGUGUUUUGAGGGGCACAGUUCCUGGUACAAUUUCAGGCAUUUUAUGAGUUCGUUAAGAUUGUUUCGAUGAUUUAUGUAAUAUAUAUAUAUAUAUAUAUAUAUAUAUAUAUAUAUAUAUAUUAUUAUAUAUAAUAUAAUAUCAGGCCAUGGCUACUAUACUAUUAUGGUAUUGAGCCUUGUACUCAUAAGUUGUUUUCGAUGCGGACUUCCGAAUCGACGAUCACCUUCCGUUAAAUAUGAUCUAAAGUAUUGAAACUUCUAGAAAAUAAAUUUCGACUCUUUGGAACUCAUAAUUCCAUCAAGCGGGCAUAAAAUGAACGGUCAAAAUCGAACGACGUCCUAAAAAAGGAUGAUCCGAUCAUUCAAUUCAAGAUCGGAGUUAUUGAUCUUUAUCUAGAUAGUGAAUAGAAUUUUCUAUCAAAAAUUCAACAAAUUCCGAUUCUUUUACACCGUUAAACUAGCAAGUACCCCAUACCGGCCAUUAAAAAUUAUCAAAUUUGUGACCUCUUGAUCGUAAGGUAAAUUAUAUCAAAAAAUUAUAAAAUUUGAUUUCUAGAAGUUUUAAAUGCUGUAAAUAACGUUUAACGGUGUGGAUCGUCGAUUCGGAAGCUCUAUCAUCGAAAACAACUUAUGAGUACGAGGGUGAUCGUACUCAUAAUAGUAUAGUAGCCGGACCCUAUAUAUAUAUAUAUAUAUUUAUUUAUUUAUUUAUUUAUUUGUUCAGGCCUAAUAAGCUUAAGCUUUAAAAUUGAAUAGGUUAUAUCAGACAUAUCACAUGCUUAGAUUUAUGUGGAUUUAUGCUAUGCAGAACUACUUUCUGAGGGUUAUCAACAAGUUCUUUCAUUACUGGAUUCAAGAUUCUUAACAUUUAUAGUUCUUAUAAUUAAUCUAGUUUUUAUAAUAUCAUGUACUAGAUUCUUCCUGCAUGCUAGUUUAAAGAGAAAAGGAUGCAUGCAAAAAGACGGCUCAAACUCGAUCGAAGCUUAAUUUCAAAACCACACAAUCCCUGUAGAAGGCAAGAACAUAGAAUAAAAGGCUCUCAUAAAACCAAUCCCAAGCCAAAACACCCUAGUAAAACCUUCAACAAAUUAAAUGCCUUACAGUUUUAUAUUUCUGUUCUAUAUAUGGGCAGAGUUUCUAGAUCUCCAAGAUAAACAGAAACGACUCAAAAAACUUACAUUUCUGUCUAUUUUGUGGUGACCGAUCUAAAUCAAGCGAAAUAAUGUGAUAUUUCGAGACAAGAUUUCACUGACCGUCCCUAGAGCAAGUGGUAAAGGUCUUGGUGGUUGGUACCCGAGGUUUCAAGUUCGAAUCCUAGUUGAUUCAUAUUUCUAGCUAAAUUUAUUUCUAAAUGAAAGAAACGAAGCGGGUAGCUUGCUACCUAUCUCUCAAAAAAAAAGAAAAAAAUCAUCCAACUUUUGAGCUCCUAGGAGGUGCUUCGUUGAGCUUCGAUCUUUUUUUUUUUUUCUUUUUUCCUGAGGCUCUAACUGUCUGUCUCAUUGUUGUUAAGUUUAUUUCUCUUUAAUAAAUGAAGCAGAUCACCUAAUGUCUUCAUGUGUAUUCAUUCGCUUCCUUCUUCAUAGUGUAAUCGGGUUGGAGUCCCUCACCGAGUUCUCGGAUGAUCUUCGAGCUCUCUGGUCAAACUUGAUGGACAUAUCUGACACCAAAAAGAGACUUUCUUCUCUGUCCCUCAUUUCAGCUAUCUGGUGGGUAGUUUGGUCGGAAAGGAACGGCUUCUUAUUUCGCGAGACCCUCCCCAAUCCUACCCGAUGUUUGGAUCGAGUUUCGCAACUUUUGGCUGACUGGAAUGCCCCUGACUCCUGACUUCCUUUGUUUUUUUUCUUUCUUUCUUUUUUCUUUUUUCUGAUUACUUUCCUUUCUCUUGUUCACACUGUUUUACUCUUUCCCCUUCGGAAGCCCUGGCUGCUUCUAUUCUGUAAGCUUAGUUCAUCCUCCUAUUGAAUGAAGCGGGUAGCUUGCUAUCUAUUUUUUAAAAAAAUAAAUCAAGCAGAUCUCCUCUUUCUCAAAAAAAAAAAAAAAAAAAAAAAAAAAAAAAAAAAAAAAAAAAAAACUCUUACAAUGGAAGGUUCAUAACAAAGAUAAAAAUGGUAGAUAAGAGAUAGCCACCACAAGCAAAACCACAACAAGCUCAUGAUUCCCUUUUACACCUCUCUUGCCUAAUAAAGAAGAUGUAUUAGCUAGUUUUCUAUAAAUAUUAAAGUAGCAUUUCUCAAUCUUUUAUUUUUUCUCUUUUUUUUGAGAGAGAAUACGUAGCAUGCUACGCUUCGUUCAUUUUCUCGAUCUAUUCUUAGUAAUACUUUUGCACUUUCGCUAUUAAAUAUAUACAGUAACACACACAAAAGAACAGAAUAUAUACAGUAAACACUUCUUGCUAUUAAAUAAAUAAUCAUACUUUUGGAAUAGUAUAUAUGCAUGUAUAAUGAUCAUACUUUUGGAUAACUACGCAAAAUUUCAAAGUUUAGGAGGAUAAUUAUGCUAAUCUAAAGUUGGAAAAAUACAUAACUUUCAAGUUAAGAUGGGAUGCAUUAGUGAAUGCCCCUAAUUUAAGAAAUAUUAUAUGUGUUGGAAUAUGAUGUUUCUCAUAUUUCUAAUAUACUUAAUUUUCUUAUUGGAUAUUCCUUACAAUAUUAGUAUGUACUUAAUUUCCUUAUGCAUGGCAAGUUGUUUUCUCAUUCUUCUUACGGGCCUAUUAAGCUAUUGUAUUAUUUGAUUUCUUUUUUAUUAUUUGGUCUUAUAUGACUCUAUUUAAAGAGGCCUUCGUGUAGUAUAAAUCAUAACAAAAGAAGUGCAAUAUAUUCCAGUUUUUCUCUUCCGUUUAUUGUUGAAUAUAAGUAUUAACAGUAGCGUGGUUCUCUGACAAUUUAAACUUUCGAAGAAAAACAAUUAUUUCAUAUAUAAUUUAUAUUUAUAUAACUCCUUGACAAAGUCUCGAGUUUUAAAAAAAGAAAAAGAAAAAGAUUGUUUCAUAUAUAUACUUUAACACAUGCACCCAACUACAUUUCAACAACUUCAUGAAUUUUUUUUUUUGAAAAAUAAAAAAAAAAUCAGGUGUUUUGAUUUUAUUCAUGUUUCUACGAGGGGGGUACCAUUCUCUAUUAUGUUUCUUGAGUUGGCAUAGCUACAUAGUUCACAUGGAAUACCUCAUCUCUUAUCAAUGCAAGGGGAAUAUGAUGUGGUCCAUAGCAUGUUUUUUGGACUAUUGUGCUCAUAAAAAUAUCGAAUCUCACUGGGGCCUUGAUUAUGUUUAAUUUUCAUUUUCCAUUCGCUUAUCGGUUAUAGUACAAUUUAUAGAUGAAAACAAAUUUACGGCUGUAGAUUGUUAUCCAAAAAAUUGAUCUAGGAUGAUACAGGCUCACGUGCAUGGUGAAUAUUAGUCAAAUAGAUAAAAAAAAAAAAAAAUGAUCUAUUACGGACCUGCUUAGAAUUUAUCUUAAUUAACUCUCUCGUCACGUGGACUGACUGAAAAGAUACAGAAAAACCAACAAAAUAAUAGACGUACAGGAAUGUAUGCCGCGUGAAGUGGCAAAUAUAGAAUUCGAAACCUCUUAGACCGGAGUUUUUGUAUGCCAGAAAUUCCAUUGUACGUGCCACAAAACUUUGCAAUUAAAGCACCUAAAUUAAUAUAAUAAGAACAUAUAUGCCCCGGAAUUAGGUAUCUCGUACAUUUGACUGAUCAAAGUCUGUUAACUAAUUAUGAAACGAUUGUUAUUUCUCUAAAAUCUUAAGUUAUUAUAGAACGGUGGAAAAGUUGAAAAGGCUCUUAGCGAGACCAGCUAUUUCUCA